AUUUUCUCAAAAGUCUGAUCUCAUCAGAUGUCACAAGCUAAGCAGGUUUGGGCCUGGAUAGUACUUGGAUGGGAGACCGCUGGGAAUACCAAGUG
rnacentral:rRNA from 1 species